UGUGUCUGGAAUCACAGAGGAUGCCAAGGAAAUACUAGGCAGGAUUUUCGCCCCCAGAGUGUGCAUGUAUGUUUCAGUUGGAGUGACUAAUCCGCACCUGAAAGCCAUCAGUAAUAAGCAAGUCUUCAUCUGGAUGGCUCCAUCCAGCUGACAAGGGUGUUAUUUUCUUCCUAACUCCUCUGCCCACAGGAGCAAGCUGCAACUCCUUUACUUAUCUUUGCAAUCUGGUCUCCCACGCCCCGCCAGCCCACCCUCGGCUUAGCCCCAUUUCUUGCUACUUCUCUCCUACAUCCCAUGUUUCAACCACCCUUGGGCCUGGCUUCAGAGUGGGGCCUCCAGGGAGCCAACCUCUAAGACUUUCUUGUAUGUCACUAGCAAUCUAGCAAGACAUAGUGGCAGAAUUGUCAGAAGUCCUCAGGGAGAAAAACUUAGGUGUGAUCCUGGGUAAACUACUGAGAAGGGUCAGGAGCGAUAUCCCCCAUGGGCAAGCUCAAAGAACAUUUCAGAAUUCUAGUUCUGAGGAGGGUGGGCCCACUAACUACAGAACUUUGCUCAGUGAACCAAGAGUGGACUUGCUUGGGAAAAUUGUUAACUACUGCAUGCCACCAUCAGAGAGCCCUCCGUGUCCAGCAUUGUCACACCUACCCUCUCCUCUGAACAAAAACUGGAGAAAAUCUGUUAAAGGGGCACCUAAUCAUGAGUCAGCUCAGAGUGAGCUCAUGACUUAACCACCUAUGGUUCUCUGAACCUCCUAGGUUCUCUUGUGCCUCUGUGCUUUUCACAAGUUUUCCUGGGACCUCCCCAUUGAUAUUCUAUGCCAAGUUCAUCUCAAUACUCAACAAAACUUUUUCUUCCUCUGUAGAAUCUUCCCUGAAUGACACUAUGUGCUAGCCUAGCCAAGUCUGUAUCAGGUGCCCAACUUUGGUGUUCCCGUCGUACUUGAUGCACACCUCCUACCAUCAACUACACUAUCAUAAACUUUUGGUGCAUCUGACCCCUUCACUGGGAUGAAGACUCCCUA
rnacentral:lncRNA from 1 species